rnacentral:rRNA from 1 species
CGAUGCCGCGUGUGUGAAGAAGGCCUGAGGGUUGUAAAGCACUUUAAUGGGGAGGAGAGGUUACGUGUGAAUAAUGCGUAGCUGAGACGUUACCAAAGAUAAGCACCGGCAAACUCUGUGCCAGCAGCCGCGGUAAUACAGAGGGUGCAAGCGUUAAUCGGAGUUACUGGGCGUAAAGGGCACGUAGGCGGUUAUGUAAGUCAGUUGUGAAAUCCCCGGGCUUAACCUGGGAACUGCAAUUGAAACUGUGUGACUAGAGUCGAAGAGAGGGAAGCGGAAUUUCCGGUGUAGCGGUGAAAUGCGUAGAUAUCGGAAGGAACACCCGUGGCGAAGGCGGCUUCCUGGCUUCAGACUGACGCUGAGGUGCGAAAGCGUGGGUAGCGAACAGGAUUAGAUACCCUGGUAGUCCACGCUGUAAACGAUGAGUACUAGCUGUUGGAAGGCAACGACCUUUCAGUAGCGGAGCAAACGCAUUAAGUACUCCGCCUGGGGAAUACGGCCGCAAGGCUA